rnacentral:tRNA from 1 species
GGGGAUUUAGCUCAAAUGGUAGAGCGCUCGCUUAGCAUGCGAGAGGUAGCGGCAUCGAUGCCCGCAUUCACCA